AACAAGGUAGUACACUUUAAGUCGGAAUAUAUUAGAGGUGAGCAUUGCUUUUAGCAAUUGCAGAAGUCCUGGAAAGCACUGUUCAGCAUUCAGCAUGUCACAAAAUUACCAAGAGGGAAGCAAAUUCUGAUGGGUAACUCUCAGGGACUACUACCAUUUCCAGGCUGAAUUCAGUAGGAUGGGCUUUCCUGAAUUUGAAGUCUUUCAAGAUGUACGUGUAUAUCCCACUUGAGAGCCUCAAGCACAAACGAAAUUUCUUUUUCGAGUCCUAGGUUGUGUUCUGACUUGAAAAUUAAAGGUCAAAAAGUCCCACAGCAUAUCUGUGCUUUACACCAAGAGGAAAAUGAACUGCCUGGACAGAGGAUGUUGUCUUUGGUCACCGUCAAGAACUUGACCUGUCUAACUGAUAUGACACAGGGAAAGAGGUCUUACAAGGCUUUUUAGAGUGGUCUCUCUAUGGCACUGAUCCUUCCUCCUGGAGUGGUCUCUCACUUUGCAGCCAGCUGAAUUAUCAUCAGAUCCUCACCUGGCACUAUGCACCAAAGAUGCAGAUGGAUAUGGAGAUGUAUCAGAAAACAAUUGCCACACCUUUGAAAGUGGAUGCAGAGAGUGGAUCGCAGCGAUGGUGCUCUCAGGAACUGGAGUGGGGUCAGCUGAAGAUGGGCAGCUGAAACUUUCAUUCAAUUCACAGUUCUUGGUGAGAACCAGAAAUUUACUUGAUGAUUAUUUUUAAAACAGUGUUAAAUUCAGAGUUCAAAAAGUUAUUUGGAUGGACAAUGUCUUUGACCCCCCCCAAAAAAUGUAAAUUUUCAUGUUUUGUUUCCUAAAAAGCAGUUUUUCAGUUCUCAUUAAUAAGAGGAAAACAGCACAUUUGAGUGAAAAUUGCAUUGUUUCUAAUGAAUUUCUGGGGUGUUUUGAAGACUAACGUGGAAAAAGGAGGGUAAAAUGUAGCUGAAAAAUCAUUUAUUCCUCUAUUACAGCCAUCUAAUAUUCUCAGAGUGUAUAAAUCAGUUCAG